GGGCGAGUGGCGGAAUUGGUAGACGCGCUGGUCUUAGGAACCAGUAGAGCAAUCUGUGGAGGUUCAAGUCCUCUCUCGCCCA
rnacentral:tRNA from 1 species